AUCCAGCUGAGGAGUCCCAAAUGGGACGAAACGCGAUUCCUG
rnacentral:hammerhead_ribozyme from 1 species